rnacentral:lncRNA from 1 species
AUGUCAGCUUCAUCUUGGCAGUUCCAGCAGCAGAAGCACCUCGUCAGUUUUGUUGUUCCUAAGUCAAGAGAAAAUCUCAUUCAUCAACAGUUCACUGUUAUGUUAAAUGCCAGAAGGGGUAUAGAAAAAUUGGGACACUAUUGUGCUGUUGGUGAAGUUGUGAAUUCGUCCAGCCAUUCUGGAGAACAGUUUGGAACUAUGCCCAAAAACUUAUAAAACUAUGCACACCCUUUGACUCGGCAAUACCACUACUAAGUCUGUAUCCCAAAGAGAUCAAAGAAAAGGGAAAAGGACCUCUAUGUACAAAAAUAUUAAUGGCAGCUCUUUUUGCGGUGUCUAAGGAUUGGAAAUUGAGAUGAUGCCCAUCAAUUGGAGAGUGUGUGAAUAAGUUUGGGUAUGUGAUUGUGUGGGAAUACUAUUGUGCUAUAAGAAAUGAAGAGCAGGAUGAUUUCAGAAAAACCUGGGGAGACUUAUAUGAACUAAUGCAAAAUGAAGUGAGCAGAACCAGGAAAAUGUUGUACGUGGUAACAGCAAUAUCAUGUGAUGAUCAGCUGGGAAAGACUUAGCUACUCUGAUCAAUACAGUAAUCGAAGACAAUUCUAAAAGAUCUGUGAUGGAAAAUGCUAUCCACCUCCAGAGAGAGAAGUGAUGAAUUCUAAAUGAAGAUUGAAGCAUGCUUUUUUUUUCAUUUUUUAAAAAUUUAUUUUUUAGUUUUCAACAUUCACUUCCAUAAGCUUUUGAGUUUUAAGUUUUCUCCCCCUUCCUCCCCACCUCCCUCCCCAAGACGGCAUGCAAUCUGAUAUAGGCUUUACAUAUGCAUUCCUAUUAAACAUAUUUUCAUAUUAUCCAUGUUGUAAAGAAGAAUUAGAAACAAUAGGAGUAACCACAAGAAAGAAGAAACAAAACAAAACAAAAGGUAAAAAAAAGGGCAAAUAGUAUGCUUUGAUCUGCAUUCAAACUCCAUAGUUCUUUCUCUGGACGUGGAUAGUAUUUUCCAACAGGAGAAUUUUGGAGAAGUCUUACAUCCUUGCAUUGUGAAGCAUACUUUUUAAAACUUUUUCUUGUUUUAUGUUUUUGUCUGUGUUUUCUUUUGCAACAUGGCUAAUAUGGAAAUGUGCUUUGCAUGAUUUUACAUUUAUAGUUAAUAUCAAAUUGCUUGCCUUCUCAAGGAAGGGGGAAGGGUGGAAGUAAAGGAGAGAUUUUGGAACUCACUAUUUUAAAAAAUGAUUGUUAAAAUUUCUUAACAUGUAAUUGGAAGCUAUUUAACAAAAUAAAUUUAUAUUUAAAAUGCUAAUUUUUUUAAAA